AAGUCGUAACAAGGUCUCCGUUGGUGAACCAGCGGAGGGAUCAUUACCGAGUUUACAACUCCCAAACCCCUGUGAACAUACCGUUUCGUUGCCUCGGCGGGAGGCCCCGGGGGGCGGCGGACACUCGUGUCUGCCCGCCCUCUCGGACCCCAUGGCUGCCCGCCGGAGGACCCAAACCAAACUCUUGUAUCUUUUGAGAAUUCAUACUCUGAGUAAACAUGGCGAAAGCCGAAAAUAAAUCAAAACUUUCAACAACGGAUCUCUUGGCUCUG
rnacentral:misc_RNA from 1 species